ensembl:lncRNA
CCUGUGGUCCCACUGGUCCCACAAAGAGGGCUGAUGUCAUAAACACAGAGCACAGGGGAGCCCCUGUGUUCCAGCCAGCAGAGGCCAUGGGCUGCAGGAACAGGAAGGACAGUGGGUUCUGCCGAGGGUCUCAUUAUGUCGUCUAGGCUGGCCUCAAACUCAUGGCGAGCCUCCUGCCUCAGCCUCCUGAGUGCUAGAAUAUAGACGUGCACCACCACCACGCCUGGCUUGGAAAAAACCUGCUUCCCGGUGCCUCAGAAUGUGCCUGUGUUGGAGUUAAAGAGAUUGUUCACCACCAUGGCAUUCCUUAACCACAAUGUACGAGGUCUUUUCCUGUUGCUAGUAACACAAUACCAGAAUAGGCUUUCACAUAAGGACAAGCGAGGAGCCCAACUGGAAGAAGACGGAAGACAGAAAGACUGCACAGGCAGCUCACCCUGGAGAGCUGGGCUCUCUCUUCCCCUACACUUCGCAUCAUAAAGUGAAAUAAAGGCUUAGUUGCCUGGCCUGGUAGGGCAGGCCUGUGCUCCCAGCAUUCCGCCUGAAGCAGGAGGAGCCUGUGAGUUUGAGGCUUAGAGAUAGCACAGGAAGGUCUGACUGUGCCAGGCACUGUUUUAAACACCUUACGUUUUCUUCUUUUCAUUUUUAUUGUUUAUUUUUGUGGUACCGGGGACUGAACCCAGGCCUUUCUCACUGAGCUACACCUCCAGCCUUGGUUUUGUUUUUUAUUUUCGGACAGGGUGUUGCUAAAUUGCCCAGGCUGGGCUUGAACUUUUUGUUUUGGUACCGGGGAUCAGACUUGGGACUUUGCACUUUCGGGGCAGGUGGUGGGACUACGGUACUAAAUCCCCGGCCCUGGGCUUGAACUUUUGAUCCUCCUUCCUCAGCCUUCCAGAGUGCUUGGAUCACAGGUGUGCACCACCACCCCUGGCCUCAGAGCUGUUCUGCAACCAGAGAGGGGCUCGUGACUCCGGCCCAGCUCCCCUCAUGGCUCUGGGUGGACAACACAGACAGGCCUAGGGUGGGGACCGCCACCCCUGGCUAGCAAUUCCAGGGUGGUCUCCAGGGAGCCGGCGGCUCACAGGCCUGGGAGCAGAGUCUUCCUGGAGCCCAGUCCCCAGGGGUCUCCUUCUGUACCCCAGGAUGGCCUUGAACUCAAGGCUAUCCUCCUGCCUCAGCAUCCAGAAUGCAGAGAUUGCAGAUGCGUGCCACCACACCCCGCGGCCAGAGAAGUGGUCUCUAGCCUGAGGCGAUCAGCAGCCCCUACAGAGAACAAGAGCCACCCAGAGUGGGGGCAUCAGAGCCCCGAGACUUGGCUAGAACCUUCCCUGGACAGAAUCUUCGUUCUGUGUGGGGAGGGAGGUUGAGACAACAGGCACUAAGGUAGGCACACGGAGGAGCACCCGGGCCCUGCUAUUCAGGAACAAAAGGACAUGCAGCACAAACUUGGGCCCUCAGUGCCCUUAGUAUUGUACAUAGGUAAGUUAAUUAGUUAUCUUGUAGGCAGUUAGACAGGAGCCACCCUCACGGAGCCAACACAGCGAGGAGCCAACAUGGAGGACAACUGAGGCACAUUAACUGGUUAGCAUUAUAAAGAGAAGAGAAGUGGGCCGGGGAUUUAGCUCAGUGGUUCUGCCUCCUGCCCCGCAAGUGCAAGGAUCAGACUUUGAUCCCCGGUACCAAAAAAAAAAAAAAAAAAAAAAAAAAAAAAAAAAAAAAAAAGAAGAAGAGCUCUACUUCCCCUAGAGAUAGCAGUGAUUGAUAUUCCAAAUGGGAAACUUCUCGUAUGUGACUUGUUUUCCCAUUUGAUCCCCAUUUAAUCAGUAUUACCUGGGUCACUGUACUGAAGGACCCUUGUUAGCAAGACAGACUCCAUAUUGCUGCUUGACCCACCUGCCUACCCUUUAGAUGAACUCAGAAGGAGGAAACUUAAAAACCUCCUCCCCUUGGAGAGUCUCUUUAGAAAUAACAGUUAAUCAACUAUUGUUUUAUAAAUGUUCUAACAGCAGGACGUUCUGCUUCUGUACCUUUUGAUUGCUUUACUAGUUCUAUCCCUUAGGGGGCCCUAGAAACUGUAGGCCUCAAAGGUGUAUAAAAUAUGUUAAUCUUCCCCCAGUUGGGCUGAAGUCCGCUGCUCGGUCCCGGCUGGUAAUAAACUCCUGUGUGGAUUUAA